rnacentral:tRNA from 1 species
AGAGGAUUAGCUCAGCUGGGAGAGCGUCUGCCUUACGAGCAGAAUGUCGGGGGUUCGAAUCCCUCAUCCUCUACCA